ACCUAAGACAGGUGGUGCAUGGCUGUCCGUCCAGCUCCGUGUCGUGAGAUGUUGGGUUAAGUCCCGCAACGAGCGCAACCCCUUUCGUAUGUUACCAUCACUAAGUUGGGGACUCAUGCGAUACUGCCUGCGAUGAGCAGGAGGAAGGUGGGGAUGACGUCAAGUCAUCAUGCCCCUUAUACGCUGGGCUACACACGUGCUACAAUGGGUAGUACAGAGAGUCGCAAAGCCGUGAGGUGGAGCUAAUCUCAGAAAACUAUUCUUAGUUCGGAGUGUACUCUACCCUUCGCGUACAUGAAAUUGGAAUCGGUAGUAAUCGCAAAUCAGCAAUGUCACGGUAAUUACGUUC
rnacentral:rRNA from 1 species